UACGGGAGGCAGCAGUGGGGAAUAUUGCACAAUGGGCGAAAGCCUGAUGCAGCUAUGCCGCGUGUAUGAAGAAGGCCUUAGGGUUGUAAAGUACUUUCAUCGGGGAGGAAAAAACAAAACUAAUAAUUUUAUUUCUUGACGUUACCCGAAAAAGAAGCACCGGCUAACUCCGUGCCAGCAGCCGCGGUAAUACGGAGGGUGCUAGCGUUAAUCAGAAUUACUGGGCGUAAAGAGCACGUAGGUGGUUUUUUUAAGUCAGAUGUGAAAUCCCUGGGCUUAACCUGGAACUGCAUUUUGAAACUGAAAUACUAGAGUAUCGUAGAGGGAGGUAGAAUUCUAGGUGUAGCGGUUGAAAUGCGUAGAUAUCUGGAGGAAUACCUGUGGCGAAAGCGGCCUCCUAAACCGAAUACUGACACUGAGGUGCGAAAGCGUGGGGAGCAAACAGGGAUUAGAUACCCGU
rnacentral:rRNA from 1 species